CAAACUUUCAACUAUUUCUAAUUCUUCGCUGUCAUUUAAGAGGCUUUCAAGGUGCACUGUCCAUCUCAGACCAGCUCUACCCAUAGAGGAAAUCUGAUCUAUUGCAGCACGGAAACAUCAGCGGUGACCACAUCGAGACAAAUUCCUUAGGGAGCAGCUUCAGUUCAGACAGUCCUGAAGGAGUUGAAUCCCCAGCAGGAGCAAUACACACUGAGG
rnacentral:lncRNA from 14 species